rnacentral:rRNA from 1 species
AAAAGAAACCAACAGGGAUUGCCCCAGUAACGGCGAGUGAAGCGGCAACAGCUCAAAUUUGAAAUCUGGCCCCUAGGGCCCGAGUUGUAAUUUGCAGAGGAUGCUUUGGGCGAGGUGCCUUCCGAGUUCCCUGGAACGGGACGCCACAGAGGGUGAGAGCCCCGUCUGGUCGGACACCGAGCCUGUGUAAAGCUCCUUCGACGAGUCGAGUAGUUUGGGAAUGCUGCUCAAAAUGGGAGGUAUAUGUCUUCUAAAGCUAAAUAUUGGCCAGAGACCGAUAGCGCACAAGUAGAGUGAUCGAAAGAUGAAAAGCACUUUGAAAAGAGGGUUAAAAAGUACGUGAAAUUGUUGAAAGGGAAGCGCCUAUGACCAGACUUGGGCCCGGUGAAUCAUCCAGCGUUCUCGCUGGUGCACUUUGCCGGGCACAGGCCAGCAUCAGUUUGGCGCGGGGGACAAAGGCUUCGGGAAUGUGGCUCCCUCGGGAGUGUUAUAGCCCGCUGCGCAAUACCCUGCGCUGGACUGAGGUACGCGCAUCGCAAGGAUGCUGGCGUAAUGGUCAUCAGCGACCCGUCUUGAAACACGGACCAAGGAGUCGUCUUCGUAUGCGAGUGUUCGGGUGUCAAACCCCUACGCGUAAUGAAAGUGAACGCAGGUGAGAGCUUCGGCGCAUCAUCGACCGAUCCUGAUGUUCUCGGAUGGAUUUGAGUAAGAGCAUACGGGGCCGGACCCGAAAGAAGGUGAACUAUGCCUGUAUAGGGUGAAGCCAGAGGAAACUCUGGUGGAGGCUCGCAGCGGUUCUGACGUGCGAAUCGAUCGUCAAAUAUGGGCAUGGGGGCGAAAGACUAAUCGA